AUCACACUUUAAUCAAUUGUUUUUAGUACAGAUCUCUUGACAAGAAUAUAACAUCCAAAUCUUGUCCACCAUCAUGUUCGUAUAAGAAACAGAAACUUUUUGAACCAAGAGAUGUGUUGACAAUGUGUAAUUAAAUGAAGACAACUUGAGCAAAAUCGAAACUUCAGAUGGUAUUCAUGGUAAGCAACCUAACUUGCAGCCUCUGGCGACAGUACUCAGAUACAUGGUGAUGUGGAAACCAGCUCAGAACUCAGACGGCAACAAAGAACCUGUGAAGAAGGAAUAUAUUGCCCCUUAUAGGGGACUUCAAUCGCUUUGUCAGUAUGACAGCGAAGAUGAAUAAGCAAACAGAACAUAAUAAGGGAUACUGCUGGACAGGAAAGAUUUCGGAGUCUUAUUCCCAGUUACAUCAAAGAUUCUUCAGUUGCUGUUAUCGUCUAUGAUGUUUCUAGUAAGUGCUUUGUAUGCUAAUGACUUAAUAAGGCUCGUGAUGCAGGGGUAAUUUUCCUGGAGACCAGAGCAAAAGCAGGAUUCAAUAUAAAGUUAGAUGUGCACUAUCGGAAUUAUCAUGCUGCUAUUAACUCGAGUUAGCUUGAAUCCUUCCCCUACAAUGGACAUCAAUGCUGCCAUCGGCAAUGAGGACACCAGCUUGGGUGGAGAAAUGGCAUUGGAUACUGCAUCCGGUUCAUUCACCAAAUACAAUGCUGGGAUUACACUAGUAGAAAAUAUAUAUGUUAGUGUUCAUAUGUCCA